GAAAUGCGAUAAGUAAUGUGAAUUGCAGAAUUCAGUGAAUCAUCGAAUCUUUGAACGCAGCUUGCGCUCCUUGGUAUUCCUUGGAGCAUGCCUGUUUGAGUAUCAUGAAAUCUUCAAAGUAAAUCUUUUGUUAACUCAAUUGGUUUCUACUUUGGUAGUGGAGGUCUUUGCAGCUUCACACCUGCUCCUCUUUGUUCAUUAGCUGGAUCUCAGUGUUAUGCUUGGUUCCACUCGGCGUGAUAAGUUAUCUAUCGCUGAGGACACUGUAAAAGGUGGCCAAGGUAAAUGCAGAUGAACCGCUUCUAAUAGUCCAUUGACUUGGACAAUACUUUUAUGAUCUGAUCUCAAAUCAGGUAGGACUACCCGCUGAACUUAAGC
rnacentral:misc_RNA from 1 species